rnacentral:rRNA from 1 species
GGACCCGCACAAGCAGCGGAGCAUGUGGUUUAAUUCGAAGCAACGCGAAGAACCUUACCAGGACUUGACAUCCCUCUGACAGUCCCUUAACCGGGAUCUCCCUUCGGGGCAGAGGUGACAGGUGGUGCAUGGUUGUCGUCAGCUCGUGUCGUGAGAUGUUGGGUUAAGUCCCGCAACGAGCGCAACCCUUGUCAUUAGUUGCCAGCAGUUCGGCUGGGCACUCUAGUGAGACUGCCGGGGAUAACUCGGAGGAAGGUGGGGAUGACGUCAAAUCAUCAUGCCCCUUAUGUUCUGGGCUACACACGUGCUACAAUGGCUGGUACAAAGAGAAGCGAGACCGCGAGGUGGAGCAAAUCUCAAAAACCAGUCCCAGUUCGGAUUGUAGGCUGCAACUCGCCUACAUGAAGUUGGAGUUGCUAGUAAUCGCGAAUCAGAAUGUCGCGGUGAAUGCGUUCCCGGGUCUU